rnacentral:rRNA from 1 species
CCUACGGGUGGCAGCAGUGAGGAAUAUUGGUCAAUGGGCGAGAGCCUGAACCAGCCAAGUCGCGUGAAGGAUGAAGGAUCUAUGGUUUGUAAACUUCUUUUAUAUGGGAAUAAAGUGAGGAACGUGUUCCUUUUUGUAUGUACCAUAUGAAUAAGCAUCGGCUAACUCCGUGCCAGCAGCCGCGGUAAUACGGAGGAUGCGAGCGUUAUCCGGAUUUAUUGGGUUUAAAGGGUGCGUAGGUGGUUAAUUAAGUCAGCGGUGAAAGUUUGUGGCUCAACCAUAAAAUUGCCGUUGAAACUGGUUGACUUGAGUAUAUUUGAGGUAGGCGGAAUGUGUGGUGUAGCGGUGAAAUGCAUAGAUAUCACGCAGAACACCGAUUGCGAAGGCAGCUUACUAACCUAUAACUGACACUGAAGCACGAAAGCGUGGGGAGCAAACAGGAUUAGAUACCCGAGUAGUC